UUUAAUGUAUAAUUUCUUAAAAGUACAAAAAUGUAUUGAGUAUUCAAUUAGUUUUUAUUGAUAUCAUUAACAUUCUUAAAAUGAGGUAAAUAUAAAUUGUUGUUGUAAUCUUAAUGCAAUUAAUCCAUCUUUUUCUUUGCUGUCAAGGAAAAGUGUUAUGAGAUUAACAACUAAAGUCAUCAGUUGAGAACCAAUAUCGAGCCAAUGUCAAGGAAAAGUGUUAUGAGAUUAACAACUAAAGUCAUCAGUUGAGAACCAAUAUCGAGCCACAUAGAGUUCCGCCCAUUUUUUAAAGUAGUUUUAACGUCCG
rnacentral:lncRNA from 1 species